UACGUAGGCAGCAAGCGUUGUUCGGAGUUACUGGGCGUAAAGGGUGCGUAGGUGGCUCUAUAAGUAUGGUGUGAAAUCUCCCGGCUUAACUGGGAGGGUGCGCCGUAGACUGUGGGGCUAGAGUGUGGGAGAGGAAAGUGGAAUUCCUGGUGUAGCGGUGAAAUGCGUAGAUAUCAGGAGGAACACCAAUAGCGAAGGCAGCUCGCUGGGACGUUACUGACACUGAGGCGCGAAAGCGUGGGGAGCGAACAGG
rnacentral:rRNA from 1 species